rnacentral:lncRNA from 1 species
AAUAUUUACAUCACAAAUGAAAUAAUUUAGUGCCCUUAGUUACCACAAGUAAAUUGUGUAACAUUGAAAAGUAAUGUUAACAAGAAUGUGAAUAAUAUUUAAAUAAUAUGUAACGAAAAGUAAAUAACACACAUGAUAUUUUUUCAUACCCGUGAGUAUCUCAUGGGAAAAUCAACUAUAUUAACAACAUUGCAUUGUACCAUACUAAGAUCUUGUGGUGAUUAACCUCUACAGAUUGACUGC